rnacentral:rRNA from 1 species
AUUGAACGCUGGCGGCAGGCCUAACACAUGCAAGUCGAACGAGUGGCGGACGGGUGAGUAAUGUCUGGGAAACUGCCCGAUGGAGGGGGAGAACUACUGGAAACGGUAGCUAAUACCGCAUACCCUCUGAGGGGCCCCGAUGGGAUUAGCUAGUGGGUGGGGUAACGGCUCACCUAGGCGACGAUCCCUAGCUGGUCUGAGAGGAUGACCAGCCACACUGGAACUGAGACACGGUCCAGACUCCUACGGGAGGCAGCAGUGGGGAAUAUUGCACAAUGGGCGCAAGCCUGAUGCAGCCAUGCCGCGUGUAUGAAGAAGGCCUUCGGGUUGUAAAGUACUUUCAGCGAGGAGGCGUUACUCGCAGAAGAAGCACCGGCUAACUCCGUGCCAGCAGCCGCGGUAAUAC